rnacentral:lncRNA from 1 species
CCUGAAUAGACAUGAUUAUAUAUUAUGUGGGUGUGGGGAAUAUAGUUAUGAAAAGUUAGCAGAAGAACAAAUGAUAAGAAACACAUAAUAAAGUACACUCGAGAAAUAACAUGAGCCAGAAAUGCUUCAUGAAUUAUGCACGAGUAGAAUAAGCAAUAAAAAAUGAUAUUAGCCUGAUGGAAAGAUAUUUUUAACAAUCUAUCCAAGCACCUUUUGGGAACAACUGAUUUGAAAUUCAUACGCUUACAGGAAAUACAUCAUUUUGCAUGCAUAAUUAAUGCAAUGUUGUAACUCACACGAAAGCUUCCCAAGGCCAUAACCAUUUUGAAUGAAUUUCAGCUUCUCACAAUUUUUGUUGUCAUAUGAACUUGAAUCAAGGAAUAACUAGAAUACGUGAAAUGCUAUAUGCACUAGUAGAAUAAGCAAGAAAAAAUAUAUCAGUCUGAGGAAAAAAUAUUCUGGAUUCAAUGUAUUGAAAUCCAUAUAUUUAUAGAGAAAUAUAUCAUUUUGCAUGCAUAAACUUUAAGAGUCGCUCUCAUGGUUAACAUCAAAGCUUUCAUUAACCAUUUCAAUGGAUUUCAGCUAUUCUCUAUUGUAGUGUCAAAAUGAAAUCCUUAGGUUUGUAAUAUGUGGCUCGCUACUGUCAAGACCACUGGGUUGUUGUUGUUGUUGUACUGUCAAGACCACAUAUAAACAAUGGAGUUUGCUAGGUUAAACUUUUUGGCAGAAUAGCUUAAUAGACAUCUGUACUUGUCCACAUUUGACAUCCCAGUCCCCUUACUCUUCGAAGUUUCAAGUGGACACCUGAACUUGUUCAAAUCUAUUCCUUUAAACCCCUCCGACUGUUGACCAAGCAUAUGUGGCAUUGAGAUGGACAAAAUGAGUGUAAUACACGUGGAUGAAGAGGGUGAGCACUGGUAAUUUUGAUUUAAAAGAUUAAAAUUAAAUAAAAAUAAUGUAAUAAAAAGAAGAGACAGAAAAUAUAAAGUUAAAAAGAGAGAAGAAAAGUAAGAAAGAGCUAAAGAGUCCUUUCUCCUCCCUCAUUAGUUUCAUCCAUUCCCCAUCCCCUAUUUCUCUUCUUCUUCCCCUCCAUUCUUCUCUUCCUCUCUCCAUUCUUCCAGUUGGGUCCAAGUGAAACCUCUUCAAAAUCAACUGAUUCUCUGUUUUUAGCUACUUAGAUGUGUGUUAGUUAACUUUUGUACCGGAAUAAAUAGAUUUUUCCAGUCAAGUAUUUUAGGUCUCUGAUCGGGAGCUUUUUCACUGAUGUUUUCGGUGGGAGUAUUUGAAAUUAGCCGAUCCAAAUUGAAGCUUACUUCUUUUACAUAUGACACAUAAUGAAGUAACACUAUAACAGAACAAACAUUGAGCAACUAGCCCAAACACCUUCUUCACUUUCAUUCUGAUUCAUCCAAACGAUUAAACCCAGGUAGUCAAAUGGAAAGUAUAUCCAUAACCCAAGCCUCUCUCUUAGGCUGAAGCCUAAAACCCUCUUCAAGCACAAUCCAAAAUUACAGAGCUAAGAUUUUCUAGGUCUAAUGUGGUUUCAACUUUCAAGUAUGUGUGGAUGACUUCCUUAUUUCCAGUUGGUUCCCCCAUCCCCAAAACCCCAAAAUCAACACCCACCAAAGAGCUGGUCCAACAGGUACUGAAGCAAGCAGCAUGGUUUUCCUCGCUCGGCAAGAGCUUUAUAUUCUAGUUAUCUACCUUACACCUUUGUACUCAUGUAAGAUACAAUGUAUGAGGAAGUCAGGAACCGUGUAACAGACUACUAUAUUGCCUGUGGAUUCAUGAUGAGUCACAAAGCAUAUCAUUUCUGAAAAGUUUUACCUAUCUUAACCAUGAAAAAUAAGGAAUUGAAAUCAACAAAAGUCAACAUAUUUUCUGGAAAGUAGAUUACCCUGGAUCAACAAAGGCCAACGUCCUGGUUGUCCUACAUGAAUUAUUCUGAAAUGAGAAAAGCCAAAUACACCAAUAGAUCAACCUUUUUCUCCAAAUGCAUAAUGUUACGAUGCAUGGAAAAACAAAUUAAACCCUCUGGUUGUAUUUCGCUAGAAAAAUAUUAAAAUACUCUUCAAAGAAAUAAUUUUUUCCUAUCUGUCACCCUCAUUUUUUAUUGGGAACAGGGUAUAAAUUAUGGUCAGAAAGCUGCUUUCAGCUUUGUAUUUUAAAAAAUUAAAAAAAGCUUUGGUUUUUCUUUUUUAAGGUCAGGAAACAUAAUCUAAAGGCGACCAUUUACUCGGUGCAACAUCAAGCUCCUACCUAUCUUAUACUUUUGAAAUUCCUAUAGCUUCAGGGUUUCAAGUCCUUUUAGAACUUCUAUUCAUGUUGAAAUACAGUGAAUCUGCAGCUUCUGGUAACACAAACCUUAAGAAGAAUGGAAAAAUGAUAAACAGACGCAAUUCACUCAGAUAACAACAACAACAACAAAUCCAAUGUAAUCCCAAAAUGGGGGUCUGGGGAGGGUAGCUUGUACGCGGAUCUUACCCCUACCUUGUGAAGAUAGAGAGGUUGUUUCCGCAAUUCACUCGGAUAAUGAAACAAAAUCAACUUAUAGUACAAGGAUACAAGUUAGUUUAGGCGGUUAAAUGAAUCCAAUACCUUAGCAUGCGAUUUCUGUUGACCAAUAAAUCCAAUUGAG